UACAGAGGCCCCAAGCGUUAUCCGGAAUCACUGGGCGUAAAGGGUGUGUAGGUGGUUUUAUUAGUCAUCCGUUAAAUCUCUCGGCCUAACCGGGAAAAUGCGAAUGAUACGGUAAAACUAGAGGAUGCGAGGGGUGAAUGGAACUCAUGGAGUAGGGGUGAAAUCCGUUGAUAUCAUGGGGAACACCAAAAGCGAAGGCAGUUCACUGGCGCAUUCCUGACACUGAAACACGAAAGCGUAGGUAGCGAAUGGG
rnacentral:rRNA from 1 species